UUUGUCAUUUUGGAAUUUUUGUCUUUUGCCAAAAAGCAUGAUGCAAAGACAUUAGCAUCUAAUUUCCUGUUUCUAUGCACAAUAUACUUUACAUGGUUUCUUACAUGUUAUGCAGGUAAGAGAGAGGGGUAUUAAGUCAUCAGAUAUACAACAUUCAAUUAGAUCCCAGUCACCCAUUGUAUUUUGUUCAUAAACAAUAUUUGCAUUCAUAUAUGAUGUUCCAUAAUUGUGUAUGCUGUCUUUUAAUAUAAUAUCCUUUGUGCAGGGUAGAAAUUACAUGGAUUUAAAACUGUCUCUGAAGGGCAAUAUGGCAGGACAAGAAGUUGCUGUUGCACCACUGAUGACGAACAAGGGAGGAUCUCCACUUUUAAAGAGAGAAGGAAAAUCAAAGUCAGUUAAACUGAAGCUGACAGAAUCAAAGCACAAUAUGAGACACAGACAUGAACUUCCUCAUAGAAAGCAGAUGAUUUUCCUGAGGAAAGGAGAACAAUUUAAUGGAGAAAAUUCAGGAAGACAGUAUGAGAAUCCUACGGGAAGCUAGGAAGAGAAAAAUAAGGCAGACGAAUUCCAUCGCUGUGGAUUAAGUGUGAAGCUCUUAAUCCGAAGACACUGCUGCUCAGGAGAAGUUUAUUUCCUACCAACCAUGAAGGUAUGUGAUUUUGCUUCUAUUUUGAAUUAAUUCCAACAGUAUUGUGUCGUUUCUCGUUUUGUUAGAUAUCCAGUUAUCAAUUAGAAAGGUGAUUUAGUUGGUACUUUCCCACCCGCCAUAGUGUCUGUACUAGCUUUUUCUUUUUCCGCUUCUCAUGUGAUAGACGAAGCCUUCCUUUUGUGCUGGCAUUCAGCACCAGAAGCCCAAAAGCUAGCACCCAUUUUAGACAAAGCUUCGUGCGUGGGGGAGCACCCAUCAAAGUUGCUUCCGUCAAAGCAAAGUGCUCGACCGAUCACAUCCACAAGUGGUCCUAAGAGCCAUAAUUUCCACUGUAGAUUGGGCAAAACAGGACAUCUUGUGAAAGUCUAGUCCUGCUCCCAUCACACUCACACCAGCCUCUUGAUUCCUUCUUCCUUUUGGCCCUCACUGAACAAAAAGCUAAAGGAGCCGUAGCUGGUGCAUCCACCAUUACGACCUGAAAGCUACCAGUGGGGCAUUGAAAAUGUGUUUUAGAUGACUUCGCAUUUAGGCAUCCAAAUAUUUAGAAAUGGUCUUUAAAAUCUAGUUCAACGUUCUAACCACUUGAAACGUGACCCAUUCCCUGCCAAUUUAGACAGCAACAACUGUGUCUUGUCUAUUGGUUUGAUAAUUCAGUACCACUGAAUACCUUGGAUUUGUUAUGAAUAGUCCGGCCACAGAUACACUAAACCUGAUAAGGAAGCACAAACGGCUCUAGUUUAAUGUGACCGUUGGUAGGUGGUCUAGAUCAAGCUUCUUGCUUCUUCCUCCCCAUUGAUGACAAUGAGGUACUCUGCGCUCUGCCGACACUAACCAGUACGGUCAGUAGGAGAGCCAGUCCAGCCAGGAUAAUUAGCUUCUCUCUAUCUAUCAUUGGUUAACAGAGUCCUUUUUAGAACGUCACUAUCCGCUAGAUCUGGCCCAUUUGUUA